rnacentral:tRNA from 1 species
GCCUCCAUGGUCUAGCGGUCAGGACGUCGCCCUCUCAAGGCGGAAUCACGGGUUCAAGUCCCGUUGGAGGUACCA